rnacentral:rRNA from 1 species
AACGAACGCUGGCGGCAUGCCUAACACAUGCAAGUCGAACGAAGCCUUCGGGAUUAUUGGCGGACGGGUGAGUAACCCGUGGGAUCAUACCCUUUGGUACGGAAUAGCCCCGGGAAACUGGGAGUAAUACCGUAUGUGGUCGAGAGACGAAAGAUUUAUCGCCAAAGGAUUGGCCCGCGUUGGAUUAGGCAGUUGGUGGGGUAAUGGCCUACCAAGCCGACGAUCCAUCGCUGGUUUGAGAGGAUGAGCAGCCACACUGGGACUGAGACACGGCCCAGACUCCUACAGGAGGCAGCAGUGGGGAAUCUGCGACAAUGGGGGAAACCCUGAUCUAGCCAUGCCGCGUGAUCGAUGAAGGCCUUAGGGUUGUAAAGAUCUUUCAGGUGGGAAGAUAAUGACUGUACCACCAGAAGAAGCCCCGGCUAACUCCGUGCCAGCCGCCGCAGUAA